AGUCAUGCCAUUCACCAAAGCAGUAAAUUGAGAUUUGGCGUUUGAAGUAGACGUUUGGCGUAUAAUUUUCAUGCUUGAACUGCUACGAGGGCUUGUAUAGUCGUUAAAGCAUGAAAUUUAUACGCCAAACGUCAACUUCAAAAGCCAAAUCUUAAUUUACUGCUUUGGUGAAUCGCAUGACU